UGGCACACUGAUAAGAAUGACCUCAUGUGUUCAACCUCCAUUAAAGAGUUUCUUAUCUAAAAACUCAAAAACUCGCUCAAGAUAAGCUCCGAGCGAGUGAGUGAUCAUCGAUUGCCCAAAAGGUCAUAAAUAUAAAGCAUAGAAGAAAGGUCCCUGACCUGCUACGAGUGGACGCGGAAAAGAGAUCGAUUUAAUUUUUCAUUUGAGAGCUUUCUUUUUCACUCUACAUAUACAUACAUAUUCUUGAACAGGAUCAAUCAGAUUUGCGAUUAAUAUUAACUGUUUUGAGACACCCUGUGCAGAGCUGGAAAUACUUUUGCCAAUUGGAAAAUCUUCUGUAUCAUUCAAAUCAGAUAACUUGACCGACACCUCCUCCAUUGGGCGGGCAACGGACAAACCGACCAAUCAAUAUAAACUUAAAGCAAUUCCUGAUCGAAAAUUGGAAUAUCAUGAGUCAGAGAUCUGAGCGAAAGGUAAAUCGUCGUGUUACUAGUGACGCAUUCACAGCCGUAAGGGUCGACCUGACUCACUCAAUUACUAGGCUACCAGUAGAUGUUAAUUAGCAUUAAGAUUAAUCAGUGGGUCGCUAAUCAGUGGGCAUAGGGGGCGAAGUGUUACUUACCAUUCAACAUAUGCGGACCAUCGAACUCAUCCUGAUCCAAUUCCUGGGCCAAAUCGGCCAAGUCAAUGCCACCAGCUGCCAUCAUGGCGCCCAGACUGCUUAUACCGCCCAGAGCAGCCAAAUUGCCGUCAUCCGAGCCGCCGGUUGGCGAACCAAGUUUAUCUUUCUGAAUGACAACGUCCACAUUACCCAAGCCCAAACGCAUUAAGUCUGCCAUGCGAAUGUCAACCUCCCGAUUGUCUCUCUCUCACUCUCCCUCUUCUAACGUACCCGCAC